GACGUAGGAGGCGAGCGUUAUCCGGAUUCACUGGGCGUAAAGCGCAUGUAGGCGGAUGUCUAAGUCGUGUGUUAAAGCCCCUGGCUCAACUGGGGGAGGUCAUGCGAGACUGGAUGACUUGAGGGCAACAGAGGCACGUGGAACUCCCGGUGUAGCGGUGGAAUGCGUAGAGAUCGGGAAGAACACCCGUGGCGAAGGCGGCGUGCUGGGUUGCAACUGACGCUGAGAUGCGAAAGUGUGGGGAGCAAACAGG
rnacentral:rRNA from 1 species